rnacentral:rRNA from 2 species
UUCUGCCACCGAAUACAUUAGCAUGGGAUAAUGGAAUAGGACCCUGUCCUCCUAUUUUCAGUUGGUUUUGGCAGCGCGAGGACUAGGGUAAUGAUUAAUAGGGAUAGUUGGGGGCAUUAAUAUUUAAUUGUCAGAGGUGAAAUUCUUGGAUUUAUGAAAGAUUAACUUCUGCGAAAGCAUCUGCCAAGGAUGUUUUCAUUAAUCAAGAACGAAAGUUAGGGGAUCGAAGACGAUCAGAUACCGUCGUAGUCUUAACCAUAAACGAUGCCGACCAGCGAUUAGGAGACGUUGAAUACAAAACACCACCAUCGGUGCGGUCGUCCUUGGCGUCGGUCUUUCGGGGCCGGCGCGGGGGCGGCUUAGCCCGGUGGCACCGGUGAAUGACUCCCCUAGCAGCUUGUGAGA